rnacentral:rRNA from 1 species
UACGGGGGGGGGCAAGCGUUGUUCGGAAUUACUGGGCGUAAAGGGCUCGUAGGUGGCCAACUAAGUCAGACGUGAAAUCCCCUCGGCUUAACCGGGGAACUGCGUCUGAUACUGGAUGGCUUGAGUUUGGGAGAGGGAUGCGGAAUUCCAGGUGUAGCGGUGAAAUGCGUAGAUAUCUGGAGGAACACCGGUGGCGAAGGCGACAUCCUGGACCAACACUGACGCUGAGUGAGCGAAAGCCAGGGGAGCAAACGGG